GACGAACGCUGGCGGCGUGCUUAACACAUGCAAGUCGAACGGAAAGGCCCUGCUUUUGUGGGGUGCUCGGGUGGCGAACGGGUGAGUAACACGUGAGUAACCUGCCCUUGACUUUGGGAUAACUUCAGGAAACUGGGGCUAAUACCGGAUAGGAGCUCCUGCUACAUGGUGGGGGUUGGAAAGUUUCGGCGGUUGGGGAUGGACUCGCGGCUUAUCAGCUUGUUGGUGGGGUAGUGGCUUACCAAGGCUUUGACGGGUAGCCGGCCUGAGAGGGUGACCGGCCACAUUGGGACUGAGAUACGGCCCAGACUCCUACGGGAGGCAGCAGUGGGGAAUAUUGCACAAUGGGCGGAAGCCUGAUGCAGCAACGCCGCGUGCGGGAUGACGGCCUUCGGGUUGUAAACCGCUUUCGCCUGUGACGAAGCGUGAGUGACGGUAAUGGGUAAAGAAGCACCGGCUAACUACGUG
rnacentral:rRNA from 1 species